UAGGCGGGCGUGACCUAAUACAUGCAAGUCGAACGAACUCUGGUAUUGAUUGGUGCUUGCAUCAUGAUUUACAUUUGAGUGAGUGGCGAACUGGUGAGUAACACGUGGGAAACCUGCCCAGAAGCGUAGGAUAACACCUGGAAACAGAUGCUAAUACCGCAUAACAACUUGGACCGCAUGGUCCGAGUUUGAAAGAUGGCUUCGGCUAUCACUUUUGGAUGGUCCCGCGGCGUAUUAGCUAGAUGGUGAGGUAACGGCUCACCAUGGCAAUGAUACGUAGCCGACCUGAGAGGGUAAUCGGCCACAUUGGGACUGAGACACGGCCCAAACUCCUACGGGAGGCAGCAGUAGGGAAUCUUCCACAAUGGACGAAAGUCUGAUGGAGCAACGCCGCGUGAGUGAAGAAGGGUUUCGGCUCGUAAAACUCUGUUGUUAAAGAAGCAACAUAUCUGAGAUGUAACUGUU
rnacentral:rRNA from 2 species